GACGAACGCUGGCGGCGUGCUUAACACAUGCAAGUCGAACGGUAAGGCUCCAGCUUGCUGGGGUACACGAGUGGCGAACGGGUGAGUAACACGUGGGUGACCUGCCCUGCACUUCGGGAUAAGCCUGGGAAACUGGGGCUAAUACCGGCUAGGACCAUGGUGUGGAUACUGUGGUGGAAAGUUUUGUCGGUGUGGGAUGGGCCCGCGGCCUAUCAGCUUGGUGGUGGGGUAAUGGCCUACCAAGGCGGCGACGGGUAGCCGGCCUGAGAGGGUGGACGGCCACAUUGGGACUGAGACACGGCCCAGACUCCUACGGGAGGCAGCAGUGGGGAAUAUUGCACAAUGGGCGGAAGCCUGAUGCAGCGACGCCGCGUGGGGGAUGACGGCCUUCGGGUUGUAAACUCCUUUCACCAUCGACGAAGGGUUUCUGACGGUAGAUGGAGAAGAAGCACCGGCUAACUACGUG
rnacentral:rRNA from 1 species